GGCUUAGGAUGAACGCUAGCUACAGGCUAACACAUGCAAGUCGAGGGGUAGCAGGGUAGCAAUACCGCUGACGACCGGCGCACGGGUGAGUAACACGUAUCCAACCUUCCCAUAACUCAGGGAUAGCCUUUCGAAAGAAAGAUUAAUACCUGAUAGUACUUUUUCAAGGCAUCUUGAGAAAGUUAAAGAUUUAUUGGUUAUGGAUGGGGAUGCGUUCCAUUAGAUAGUUGGUGAGGUAACGGCUCACCAAGUCUUCGAUGGAUAGGGGUUCUGAGAGGAAGGUCCCCCACAUUGGUACUGAGACACGGACCAAACUCCUACGGGAGGCAGCAGUGAGGAAUAUUGGUCAAUGGGCGAGAGCCUGAACCAGCCAAGUAGCGUGAAGGAAUGAAGGUCCUAUGGAUUGUAAACUUCUUUUAUAGUAGAAUAAAGUGAUCCACGUGUGGAUUUUUGUAUGUAUACUAUGAAUAAGGAUCGGCUAACUCCGUGCCAGCCGCCGC
rnacentral:rRNA from 1 species